AACGAACGCUGGCGGCAUGCCUAACACAUGCAAGUCGAACGAGACCUUCGGGUCUAGUGGCGCACGGGUGCGUAACGCGUGGGAAUCUGCCCUUCGGUUGGGAAUAACUGAGAGAAAUUUCAGCUAAUACCUUAUAAUGUCUUCGGACCAAAGAUUUAUCGCCGAGGGAUGAGCCCGCGUAGGAUUAGGUAGUUGGUGGGGUAAUGGCCUACCUAGCCGACGAUCCUUAGCUGGUCUGAGAGGAUGAUCAGCCACACUGGGACUGAGACACGGCCCAGACUCCUACGGGAGGCAGCAGUGGGGAAUAUUGGACAAUGGGCGAAAGCCUGAUCCAGCAAUGCCGCGUGAGUGAUGAAGGCCUUAGGGUUGUAAAGCUCUUUUACCCGGGAUGAUAAUGACAGUACCGGGAGAAUAAGCUCCGGCUAACUCCGUG
rnacentral:rRNA from 1 species